rnacentral:lncRNA from 1 species
UGAAGUAGAGAGAUGUUAGUGAAGUCAUCCAGUGUCACACAGCUCAUAAGUAGAGGACUUAGGAUUUGAACGUUGUUCCCUCUGACUUCUAGAUGCCAAGUUAUACUUCAUGAUGUGAUGUAAACUGCCUAAAACUGCUUUUAAUUGGUAGACUUUGUUGAGUGUGUCACCAUCAACCACACACAAAAAAUGGAAACAUGUAUGAAUGACUCUUAAAGAAUUAAUAGAUUCAAGCCUGCUGAUUCCUUGUCAACAGGUCUACAUGAAGAAGAAAUGAUGGGACCAAACAAUCAGGAAGCAGGGAAGCACUGCACCAGCUCCUAACACAAGAGUGCAACAUGUUAUCCACUAGAUAUGACACAACCAGAUUGCCCCUACAGCCAAUGCUUCAGGAAGAAACAGCCUUAUACUCACAGGAAGAAAUAAGACAGUGAAAAU